CCUACGGGAGGCUGCAGUGGGGAAUAUUGCACAAUGGGCGCAAGCCUGAUGCAGCCAUGCCGCGUGUGUGAAGAAGGCCUUCGGGUUGUAAAGCACUUUCAGCGGGGAGGAAGGCGUUAAGGUUAAUAACCUUGUCGAUUGACGUUACCCGCAGAAGAAGCACCGGCUAACUCCGUGCCAGCAGCCGCGGUAAUACGGAGGGUGCAAGCGUUAAUCGGAAUUACUGGGCGUAAAGCGCACGCAGGCGGUCUGUCAAGUCGGAUGUGAAAUCCCCGGGCUCAACCUGGGAACGUGCAUUCGAAACUGGCAGGCUAGAGUCUUGUAGAGGGGGGUAGAAUUCCAGGUGUAGCGGUGAAAUGCGUAGAGAUCUGGAGGAAUACCGGUGGCGAAGGCGGCCCCCUGGACAAAGACUGACGCUCAGGUGCGAAAGCGUGGGGAGCAAACAGGAUUAGAUACCCGGGUAGUC
rnacentral:rRNA from 1 species